ensembl:snoRNA SNORD21 Small nucleolar RNA SNORD21
GCUAUAUGAUGAUACCCCAGUGACUGAGCAGUCUGUAGUUGGUCCUCGGUCUGUGUAUGAUGUAUGUCAUUGUUUCAAGACGGGACUGAUGGCAGC